GUGCUCACUUCAGCGGCACAUAUACUAAAACUGGAAUGACACAGAGAAGAUUAUCAUGGCCCCUGCGCAAGGAUGACAUGCAAAUUUGUGAAGCAUUUCUAUUUUCU